UACGUAGGGUGCGAACGUUGUUCGGAAUCACUGGGCAUAAAGAGCGCGUAGGCGGUCCAAUAAGUCGGGUGUGAAAUCCCUCGGCUCAACCGGGGAACUGCACCUGAUACUGUUGGGCUUGAGUGCAGGAGGGGAGAGCGGAAUUCCUGGUGGAGCGGUGAAAUGCGUAGAUAUCAGGAGGAACGCCGGCGGCGAAAGCGGCUCUCUGGUCUGUAACUGACGCUGAGGCGCGAAAGCUAGGGGAGCAAACGGG
rnacentral:rRNA from 1 species